AAUGUAUUUGGUAUUAUCGCUUUAAUGGUGAUUUCUAUUGAAACGUGUAAGGCAGGCAGUUGAUUUCAAAAGCCUUCGUUCAGAGGGUUUUCAGAUCAGAUCAAUUAACAUUUGACAGAGGAGCAAUUAAAAGGUGGACUGGUAUCAUACAACAAUGAGCACAGGUGUACAUUAGAAAUAAAUAAUGCUGCUUCAGUGUCAGGGUCCAUGGCUCACAUUGUGUACACACAGUGUACUGUUGUACAGUAUGUUAUUGUAUGGCCUGCAUAUAUACAUGUAGUAUAUAUACAUAAUUUGUUUUGUUUUGUUUAGUAAUAUGAUAUUGUAAAGUUGGGGCAGGACUAUAUGAGCACUAUGCUUCUGCCUGCUCCUUCUCGAACGCAUCCUUGUUUUGUUCUUCAGUGGAAUCUGAGUGAUUUAUCUGUUUGUGUUUUGUUUUUGUAUUUUUUUUAAAUCAGAUUUUUGUUUUUGUCGUUGUUGAUGGUUCGAGAUAAAUAAAAUAAAUAAAAUAAAAUCAUUGUCAUGUCUUAUGAAGAGAGCCUGUCAUCAGGGUUCAGGCUGUGAGGUCGGACUCCUCAGUGUGUGUGUGUGUGUGUGUGUGUGUUUGUGUGUGUGUGUGUGUGUUCGUGAUCGUUUCUUCCAAUUUAAAGCAGUGGUAGUCAUGACGCUUUUAUUCUGAAAAACUGUAACCGGACGUUCAGGUGAACCUCGCAGCUCGGUGACAGUACCGUCGCUGAACUACCGGACUUCUUCGUUCAAGUGUAUUUGUGAGUACAACUCACCACAGUCACUGACGAGGCGUGUGUGUGUGUGUGUGUGUGUGUGUGUGUGUGUGUGUGUGUGUGUGUGUGUGUGUGUGUGUGUGUGUGUGUGUGUGUGUGUGUGUGUGUGUGUGUGUGUCUAUAUUGUCGCAGCAGCAAAAUCAUAACAUCUUACUCUGUGCACAUAAGUUCCUGAUUGAAGCUAACCCAUUAGCCGGCUAGACAGACAGUGAACACCAGGAUCCUGGAUCUCCCCCUGGAUCUCCCCCUGCACUCUGCACAUCGGUGGACACAACCAGGGAAUCGCCAUAAAGAAAAUCCUCUUCAACUUUGAAGCAUCUGAAGCAGAACUACAGAGGCGGCAGCAGCAGCAGCUGUCAUAUUUGGCUUGUGUGACAGUUGGUUUUGCCUGGCAGCAUCAGAAGAGGCUUCCCCCGAGAGUUUCCUUGAUCGGUAACUUAAACCUUGAUCAGUUUAAACCAGCGGACUUUGUCUGUGUACGUGCGCUGCUGUCCAAUGUUUUCGUCCAACUCCAUGAAUAGAAAGGACUCAAAGAGAAGGUAAUAUGUUUAAGUCGACCUGUUUUGUUCAUUCAAAAAUCAUAAAAAUGUUUCUGUGACUGUGUCUCGGGACUGUGCAUUGAUUUCUGUGAGAGAUGAUACAUGUUCUCCUCUCUAUCCCAGUCUUCUGUCCUCUUGCUGUGCUGCGUCACUGUUUUAACCAGUAGCUGCAAAUGCACUCUUUGUCCUGACCCACAGUAGAAGAUGAAUCAAUAAUUCAUAAUCAGUCAUUGCAGUCUUGAGUCCCUGCCUUUUACCUUCAAUCAGUGUCAUUGUCGUCGGCAGGCUGAGAUUACAAAUAAGCCUUGACAUUUGCAGAGCUCUUCUUCAUUAAUUGAUGAGUGAAUCGAUGAGGAAAAUAUAAUUUCUUUGCUUCAGAAUUUUUGACUAUAGACAUUAUUGUCUAACCCCUUCAAAAGCAAAGGCAACUUUUAAAGUAAGCACAGAACAGCUAGUGCCACUGUCCAAAAACAUUACUACUGCCAUGUUGUUUUCCUGCUCCGUAUUUUCUUAUGUGAAAAAAAAAAUGAUUGUUGAGGAGCAGACGACGCAACCCUCUUUUAUUCUGAAAAUCUCUCACCGGACGUGUCGGUUUGAAUUUCUCCAGGAGAAGGUCAG
ensembl:lncRNA